rnacentral:tRNA from 1 species
GGAGAGUUGUCCGAGAGGCCUAUGGUGAACGGUUGGAAACCGUUUGCGGUGAUGAGCCGCCAGAGGUUCGAAUCCUCUACUCUCCGCCA